AUUGAACGCUGGCGGCAUGCCUUACACAUGCAAGUCGAACGGCAGCACGGGAGCAAUCCUGGUGGCGAGUGGCGAACGGGUGAGUAAUAUAUCGGAACGUGCCCAGUCGUGGGGAUAACGUAGCGAAAGCUACGCUAAUACCGCAUACGAUCUAUGGAUGAAAGCGGGGGAUCGCAAGACCUCGCGCGAUUGGAGCGGCCGAUAUCAGAUUAGGUAGUUGGUGAGGUAAAGGCUCACCAAGCCGACGAUCUGUAGCUGGUCUGAGAGGACGACCAGCCACACUGGGACUGAGACACGGCCCAGACUCCUACGGGAGGCAGCAGUGGGGGAAUUUUGGGACAAUGGACGCAAGUCUGAUCCAGCCAUUCCGCGUGCAGGAUGAAGGCCCUCGGGUUGUAAACUGCUUUUGUACGGAACGAAAGGUUUGUCUUAAUACGAUGAG
rnacentral:rRNA from 1 species